rnacentral:rRNA from 1 species
CCCGCACAAGCGGUGGAGCAUGUGGUUUAAUUCGAAGCAACGCGAAGAACCUUACCAGGUCUUGACAUCCCCUGACAACCCGAGAGAUCGGGCGUUCCCCUUCGGGGGACAGGGUGACAGGUGGUGCAUGGUUGUCGUCAGCUCGUGUCGUGAGAUGUUGGGUUAAGUCCCGCAACGAGCGCAACCCUCGACCUUAGUUGCCAGCAUUCAGUUGGGCACUCUAAGGUGACUGCCGGCUAAAAGUCGGAGGAAGGUGGGGAUGACGUCAAAUCAUCAUGCCCCUUAUGACCUGGGCUACACACGUGCUACAAUGGUUGGUACAACGAGUUGCGAGUCGGUGACGGCGAGCUAAUCUCUUAAAGCCAAUCUCAGUUCGGAUUGUAAGCUGCAACUCGCCUACAUGAAGUCGGAAUCGCUAGUAAUCGCGGAUCAGCACGCCGCGGUGAAUACGUUCCCGGGCCUU